GCGGAGGAAAAGAAACUAACAAGGAUUCCCCUAGUAACGGCGAGUGAACCGGGAAGAGCUCAAAUUUGAAAUCUGGCGUGCUCAGUGCGUCCGAGUUGUAAUCUAUAGAGUCGUUUUCCGUGCCGGACUGUGUCCAAGUCCCUUGGAACAGGGUAUCAAAGAGGGUGAUAAUCCCGUACUUGACACAAUGACCGGUGCUCUGUGAUACGUCUUCUACGAGUCGAGUUGUUUGGGAAUGCAGCUCAAAAUGGGUGGUGAGUUCCAUCUAAAGCUAAAUAUUGGCGAGAGACCGAUAGCGAACAAGUACCGUGAGGGAAAGAUGAAAAGCACUUUGGAAAGAGAGUUAAACAGUACGUGAAAUUGUUAAAAGGGAAACGAUUGAAGUCAGUCGUGACUGAGAGGCUCAGCCGGUUCUGCCGGUGUAUUCCCCUCAGUCGGGUCAACAUCAGUUUUGUUCGGUGGAUAAGGGCAGUUGGAAGGUGGCACCCUCGGGUGUGUUAUAGCCAGCUGUCGCAUACAUCGGAUGAGACUGAGGAAUGCAGCUCGCCUUUAUGGCCGGGGUUCGCCCACGUUCGAGCUUAGGAUGUUGACAUAAUGGCU
rnacentral:rRNA from 1 species